rnacentral:rRNA from 1 species
GAUGAACGCUGGCGGCGUGCUUAACACAUGCAAGUCGAACGAUGGAGCCGGAGCUUGCUCUGGUGAAUUAGUGGCGAACGGGUGAGUAACACGUGGGUAACCUGCCCUUGACUCUGGGAUAACUGCUAGAAAUGGUAGCUAAUACCGGAUACGACCCUCGGAGGCAUCUCCAGGGGGUGGAAAGAAUUUCGGUCAAGGAUGGACUCGCGGCCUAUCAGCUAGUUGGUGAGGUAACGGCUCACCAAGGCGACGACGGGUAGCCGGCCUGAGAGGGUGACCGGCCACCCUGGGACUGAGACACGGCCCAGACUCCUACGGGAGGCAGCAGUGGGGAAUAUUGCACAAUGGGCGCAAGCCUGAUGCAGCAACGCCGCGUGAGGGAUGACGGCCUUCGGGUUGUAAACCUCUUUUAGUAGGGAAGAAGCGAAAGUGACGGUACCUGCAGAAAAAGCACCGGCUAACUACGUGCCAGCCGCCGCAGUAA